rnacentral:rRNA from 1 species
CAGGCCUAACACAUGCAAGUCGAGCGGUAAGGCUCCUUCGGGAGUACACGAGCGGCGAACGGGUGAGUAACACGUGAGCAAUCUGCCCUUCACAUCGGGAUAACUCCGGGAAACCGGUGCUAAUACCGAAUACGACCACUUCAGGCAUCUGAUGGUGGUGGAAAGUUCCGGCGGUGAAGGAUGAGCUCGCGGCCUAUCAGCUUGUUGGUGGGGUAACGGCCCACCAAGACAACGACGGGUAGCCGGCCUGAGAGGGUGACCGGCCACACUGGGACUGAGACACGGCCCAGACUCCUACGGGAGGCAGCAGUGGGGAAUAUUGGACAAUGGGCGAAAGCCUGAUCCAGCAAUGCCGCGUGAGUGAUGAAGGCCUUAGGGUUGUAAAGCUCUUUUACCCGGGAUGAUAAUGACAGUACCGGGAGAAUAAGCUCCGGCUAACUCCGUGCCAGCAGCCGCGGUGAU